CACUGACGCAUGAAGAGCAGGCGAGACCUCCUCUCUUUCGCACUGUGGACCGGGACCAAAAGCAUGUUGUUGUUGGAGGUGUGAGGACUCUGCAACACACGGCGUAAACAUCACUGCAGGUGUUGUUGUUUUUUUAUUAACAACUUCAUUCAUACCUGAUUUUCAAGUACUCAUAAAUCAACUCUUGCGUGAACGAAAGCUUGCGUCACAGUGUAGUGAACUAAUAGACACACACCUCAAUUAUAGUCGCCGUUCAAAUGGUUUUUAAAGCUCCUUUCACUCAUCUGAUUGUAGUUUUGUAGACAAACACUUUUACUUUUCAGUUAAUGAAAGGUUCUUCUAACCUGUACUUUUCUGCCAGUGGCUUAUACACAAUAACGCUCUUUAUGAACAGAUUUCUCAGCACCAGAGGCAGCAAAGCAGCAGUUUACAGAGUGGUCUUUACCUCAAGGGCUUCAUUUCCAAAACAGCUAUAAUGUCCCCUGAAUAUAAACCCUCAUCUCCACCAUAGAGAUGAAGUUUUCUGCCACUUUUGUAAGACAUAACUCAGUGUGGAUGUAGGUUUCGGUGGUUAUCUUUUUUUUUUAAAUUGUAACCUUGUGAGAUAGUGAGGCGAGUGUGACACUGUAAGAAACGGUUUGUGCUCUCUGAGUGUUUUCUCUCGUUGGUCUUGUUGUUCUCCUUGGCCUUCAACUAAAAAUAACUACUUUGUUAUUUUGGUGUGUGCUGUGUCUGAUUCUUCUUGAGAAAUUCUCAAAUUCUUGAGAAAUUUCCAAUUCGCUGAAACAAGGUUUUUUUUUCAAGGUCUUUGGCAAUUGCAGUGUUGCCUUUUAGUAUUGUUACACAAGUGUUUUUUUUCCCCCUUAUCCUUUUGUCCAGUAACCUUGAACAUUUUGAAUAAAAAUAUUCUGGUUGUACCAAUGUUCGAUUCUGAUGGUAAUCUGGAUUAUGUGCUGGAUUUUCAGGACUGGCAAAUAACUCAAAACGUAGGAUAUGAGGAGGCAGACUGGGAUAUAUAAACACUUUAGAACUCUAAUGUAAAUCAGCAGCUAUUUUGGCUUUCUUUUGAAUUCUUUAAAAAGAUGCAGUGAGAAAGAAUGAUUGACAUCUUAAUGGAGGACUCUGCUUUUCCCCCAAAAAGGAAAUCACAAGAUAUUAAUUUUUAUAAACAAAUAUACACACAUUCACGUUUACUUGUCUGUAUGUUUUCAAUAAACUAAAGUGAGGAUAAUUCUGAAUAUGAAUAAAUAUUACAAACUGUUAUGCAACACCAAAUUCACUUUUUUUGUAAAUAUAUUAAAUAUUCAUUUAUUUAAUUCUACACCAAGCACUUGCAGGAUAUUUUGUGAAUGAUAAGUGCUGAGUUCACCAAUUGUUUUCAGUAGCUUUCAUAAAUAUUAGGAGGUUGAGUUGUUUUCUUUGAUGUUUGACUGUUGACUCUCAGCAGAAUUAUUCAAAAACUACUGAUCUGAUUACAAUGAGGCACAGAAUAUGGAAGAGCCACGUUUCAAACCCAGUGAGAUGAUUUGUGAGCGGCUGCUUUGACGCCUCAGAUGUACAGUAGUACUUUCAGGCUGCGUGUCCCACCUGUCCAAACAGCAUUUUGAGGUGCAGUUUAGCCGUUGAAAGUUUGGC